CGUCGCGCCAAAGAAGUAUCCACCACAAAGAACUCUGACUCAUGUAACUGUGUAAAACGAAACGUUUUGCCGGAAACAUUGAGUGAAUCAUAACAAAACUAAAUACACUAAAUACUUUUCUUCAGUCGUUGACGUUUCGCGAAAAUAUUGUUUUUGACACUUUUAUGAUAUAAGUACUCUUUGUUAUGUGUUUUCUUUAAAUUAAACCUAAGAUUGAUCGAUUGCGAUAACAACCAUAGAAAAAAUAAUACUAACCCUAACCAUAGAAGUAAAAGUUUUAGUUCAAAUGUCAGUUGCAUAGUGACACACAUUAUGCCGAAAAUCCCGAAUCUCCUUGCCUUUGGUAAACAUUGUCACAAUUGUGGAAAGUGGAUGCAGCGAAGGGCUCUUCGUAAAGAUGUGGCAUGCAAUUUUUGUGACGGCAAAAUAUUUGCAAGAAAAUGCAAAUGUGCAGUCGAUGUGUAGAAUGCGACAACAUUAUAUUCGGUAAGAGGCUCAAUAUUUUUUCUCUAUAACCCGACAAAUAAUAAUAAAGGACCACAUGCAUAGCCUCUGUUGCGGUGUCAUGAACACAUACAGAAACAGACACGAUUAUUGUACCGUUUUUCUUGAUAAUGGAAUGGACCCCUUCAUGCGCAAGUUCAACUUGAACUUGGCUGGUUCUUAUUAUACAAUUAGACAUUAUAAAUUGUAUAAUAUGUUUUUGCAGAUAAUUUCAAUUAUUGCGAGUGUUGUGGCCUAGAAACAAUUAGGCAGUUAAGAAUAACCAAGGCUCGGGCACUUUCAAACCUUUUUCCAAAAAAUCAAACUGCUCCUAUUUCAUCUGCCUCUACAAUACAACCUGACAAGUCCCAAGAUUUAUUUGAAGACUUUCGGGUAAGUUAAUGGUGCAGGUCAUCGAGUACAGUAAAAUGAAAAAUAAUACUUAUUACCAGAUAGAGGUGUGAGGAUAUACCUACAUACAGUACAUACAUACACAAUACUUAUUAUUAUUUGA